CAGUCGCCACGGUAAGACGAACCGUGCGAACGUUAUUCGGAAUCACUGGGCUUAAAGCGCGUGUAGGCGGGCCGCCACGUCGGCUGCUGAAAUCCCCCGGCUCAACCGGGGAACGGGCACCGAUACGAGCGGCCUGGAGGGGGGUAGGGGGGUCUGGAACUUCCGGUGGAGCGGUGAAAUGCGUUGAGAUCGGAAGGAACGCCCGUGGCGAAAGCGAGACCCUGGACCCUUUCUGACGCUGAGACGCGAAAGCCAGGGGAGCGAACGGGAUUAGAUACCCGCGUAGUCCCUGUCUCUUAUA
rnacentral:rRNA from 1 species